rnacentral:tRNA from 1 species
GGAAAGGUGCGAGAGCGGACGAAUCGGCACGCCUGGAGAGCGUGUGUAGUCGUAAGGCUACCGAGGGUUCGAAUCCCUCCCUUUCCGCCA